GCCGGGUGUGGUGGCGUGUGCCUGUAAUCCCAGCUACUCGGGAGGCUGAGGCAGAAGAAUUGCUUGAACCUGGGAGGUGGAGGUUGCAGUGAGCAGAGAUUGUGCCAUUGCAUUCCAGCCUGGGUGACAGAGUGAGACUCUGUCUCAA
ensembl:misc_RNA Metazoa_SRP Metazoan signal recognition particle RNA